AGUCACCAUUAAUCAAUCUAUCAGUAUGGCCGCUAAAUAACGCAUAAAUCAUACCUUUGAUUUUUUUUUCGUUACCCUGAAACUAUGAACCUGUGUCCUGGCAUAAAGGUAUCACUCCUAGAUACUAGCAUGUGUCCGAUAUCAGAAAUCAUACCACCUGAAUAUGUUGGAAAUGUGCCCUAAAACCAAACAUAUGAUGAAACUUUACGGACAUUUCACAUGUUAAACUAAUCUAGUUUAAUAUCAAGGGCAAAGAUUAUUGUUUGAGCCGUCUCAUAUAAAUGUUAUAUGCUUAAACGAUAAGUCCAAGGAAUAUGUGAUUGGGAGAAUGCGAUCUAAAGAAGUUAGAUUCAUGAAACCAUUCUUUCGUAGACACAUCCUAAACGUUCCUGAUCAUAAGAUUGCCAAUUGGGCAUUGACAGUCCGUUAAGAUCAGUACG
rnacentral:lncRNA from 1 species